CAUCCUCAAAUCUGCUUCCCUGGGGAUAUGCGGCUGUCCAAGAAGAAUAGUUACUUUAGCUGCCAUGGAGAUAUUACUUUUGGGCCUUUCAGUCUGAUGUAUAAUGGACCAUGUCAUGACUCCUUGCUGACCUUAAAUGAUGGGCUCCUAACCAUACUGUAGAGGAGCUGAGAGAUAGGUAAGGCUUUCAGAGUAAAUGGCCUUCAUACUAUUUAUGGAGAAUUCUUGUGAAUAAGGGUUAAUGUCAUGAAUUAAACUUAUGGAACACUGAGUCAUAUUUUAGGAAAUGGAACUUUCCUCUCUUUGACAGCAGCAAACAAAUCCUUCCAUUUUAUUCAUUCACCAAAUAUUUUUUGAGUGCCUACUAUGUUCCCUGCACUGUCUUUUGCGAAGAAGACCUCACUGUCAUGCCUGUGUUCCUCUUGUGAUUACAAUCAAGAGUUUGGAAAAGGAAUGAAAACUCCUGUGUAUGGAGCACCUUCUACUUUUUGCAGUAUAUCAUUUGGUUCACCAAGAAUGCCUCAAGGGGCAUGGAGCUGGGCAGAGGUAAACAUUCUAAAGUGGUUGACCAGAGAGGUGACAUGUGAAAAAAAAUCCAGUGCAGGGAAGCACACCAGGGAAAGAAGAGAACAGAAGGAAGACAUAGACACAUGCUUGGAGUGUUUGAGGAACAGGAGAGAGAUCUUGGAGGACACAGGGAAGGACCCAGGAAUGUAAUUUAGGUAAUGAUAAAUUGCAUGUUAUAAAUACUUAUACA
rnacentral:lncRNA from 1 species